UAUGUGAUCGUCUCUCGCAUAUCAAUAAGCGGAGGAAAAGAAACUAACAAGGAUUCCCCUAGUAACGGCGAGUGAAGCGGGAAGAGCUCAAAUUUGAAAUCUUAAAGGGUUUCCCUUUACGAAUUGUAGUUUAAAGAAGUGUUUUCUGUUGAGGUUUUGGUAAAAGUUCUUUGGAAUAGGACAUCAUAGAGGGUGAGAAUCCCGUAUUUGACCUUUACUUUCAACUUUGUGAUACACUUUCAAAGAGUCGGAUUGUUUGGGAAUGCAGUCCAAAAUGGGUGGUAAAUUUCAUCUAAAGCUAAAUAUUGGCGAGAGACCGAUAGCGAACAAGUACCGUGAGGGAAAGAUGAAAAGAACUUUGAAAAGAGAGUUAAACAGUACGUGAAAUUGUCAAAAGGGAAGCGUUUGACACCAGUGUUGUUUUUCUGAAAAUCAAUUAAAGAACUGUUUAUGCUAAGUUGUUUAGACUUUAUCAGCUAUCUGCUUAGUUUUGAGCUUUUCUUUAAUGCACUUUUCAGUUAACAAGUCAACAUCAAUUUCUUUUGCUGUAAAAAAGCUUGAGGAAGGUGGCUUGAGAUUCGUCUUAAGUGUUUAUAGCCUCUUGCCUAUGCAGUCGGAGAGAUUGAGGUCUGCAGCGUAGAUCCUUCGGGGCUAAAUGCAUUUGUGCUAAGUUAUAGCAUUUUAUAGACAACUUGUUGACUAUGAUUUGUCUUGUAGCUUACUCGCUUAUGUUAUUUUACCUACGCUUAGGAUGUUGACGCGCGUGUGUGCGUG
rnacentral:rRNA from 1 species